AGUGAACGCUGGCGGUAGGCCUAACACAUGCAAGUCGAACGGCAGCACAGUAAGAUCUUGCUCUUACGGGUGGCGAGUGGCGGACGGGUGAGGAAUACAUCGGAAUCUACUUUUUCGUGGGGGAUAACGGAGGGAAACUUACGCUAAUACCGCAUACGACCUACGGGUGAAAGCAGGGGAUCUUCGGACCUUGCGCGAUUGAAUGAGCCGAUGUCGGAUUAGCUAGUUGGCGGGGUAAAGGCCCACCAAGGCGACGAUCCGUAGCUGGUCUGAGAGGAUGAUCAGCCACACUGGAACUGAGACACGGUCCAGACUCCUACGGGAGGCAGCAGUGGGGAAUAUUGGACAAUGGGCGCAAGCCUGAUCCAGCCAUACCGCGUGGGUGAAGAAGGCCUUCGGGUUGUAAAGCCCUUUUGUUGGGAAAGAAAAGCAGCAGGUUAAUCCCCCGCUGUUCUGACGGUACCCAAAGAAUAAGCACCGGCUAACUUCGUG
rnacentral:rRNA from 1 species